CCUACGGGAGGCUGCAGUGGGGAAUAUUGGGCAAUGGGCGCAAGCCUGACCCAGCAACGCCGCGUGAAGGAAGAAGGCUUUCGGGUUGUAAACUUCUUUUGGCAGGGACGAAGCAAGUGACGGUACCUGACGAAUAAGCCACGGCUAACUACGUGCCAGCAGCCGCGGUAAUACGGAGGUGGCAAGCGUUAUCCGGAUUUACUGGGUGUAAAGGGCGUGUAGGCGGGACUGCAAGUCAGAUGUGAAAACCACGGGCUCAACCUGUGGCCUGCAUUUGAAACUGUAGGUCUUGAGUACUGGAGAGGCAGACGGAAUUCCUGGUGUAGCGGUGAAAUGCGUAGAUAUUAGGAGGAACACCAGUGGCGAAGGCGGCUUACUGGACUGUGACUGACGUUGAGGCUCGAAAGCGUGGGGAGCAAACAGGAUUAGAUACCCCUGUAGUC
rnacentral:rRNA from 1 species